CACGAACAGCGGAGAAAGUCUUCGUUGUAAUUUUUAUACAUGUAGACAAAUUAUCCUCCCAGCCGGGCCACGAUUUUAUGACUAUAUAAAUCAACGCCGUCCCGAGCAGCUUCAGAAGGGAUCUGGAGAGUCUACUGGUUCUCAACAAGUAAGUCAAUUUCAUAUUUGAUUUCUUUGUAAUAAACCGCAAUAUCUCUUUAAACAUUGAAGGAUUGAAGAGUCUUGAAUUUAUUCAAUGAUAUUAUUCUUGCAGUUGAAUAGAGACACAGGUGAGUGUGUUGUAUGCUUGUGGAACUAUUUGUUUUAUAUUUUGUGACAGAUAAUUCUUUAAUGGCAUAUAAAGUUUCAUCUGCUGUAUAAUUUGACUGACAGGAUUUGAACUGCCAACACAGAGAAAAAAAAAUUGUUUCAAGGACCUCUGACAAUGAUUUUAUAUAAAACUAACUAACGCUAAUAGAGUUUUAAAAAGCUUCUUCCAUCGAGUCAAUGCGCAUACUAAUAUGUUUUAUCAUUUUAAGAAUUCUCCUCUUGACAAUGAUACUUUAUUUUAAAAUUUUCAAAAUACCUUACAUUUAAAGGUAUUUCAUUUAUUAAAAAUUAUCGUUAGUUGUUAAGUACAUAACACACCUUUUGUCUUAGGUGUGACAGUUUAGUUUACUGGAAUAAUCUUUUUAACACUACGUGUCGCAUACAAAUGUAAACAUGUACGAUUUAAAUCUGUCUAAUAUAAGGUCUUAAUACUAAACGUGUAUAGACUUUAAACAUGUACCAUUGUAUACAUUGUAUUAGCAAUCAUUAGGUUGUACAGUUAUAAAGAAACACUAAUUUCUAAACAGAUACGACUAUCAAAUCUAUUUUCAAAAAGAUAACAGGAAACAUUUUUUUUUCAAACAAAAAGAACAGGAGAAAAAUUAAGUGUAUUUAUUUUCUCAGGUUAACGCUAUUCCAUUUAACAGGCACUGUUUAAAAUAGAAUUAAUUUUAGUAAUAUAGGGGAAACGCAAAAGAAAUGCAAACGCAAUCCGAUAAAAGAUAGUCGAGUAGUACGUUGAAUUGCUUCGAUAGAGCAAAUCAAACAUGUACACAAUAUAGGGUUAUCGCCUGUGCCCUUUACAAUAAUAGUUAAAUCAGGAAUUGUUUCAGUGAAUGGCAGUGCAAUAUCUAGUGUAGGAUCUUUGUUUUUAAGAAUAAAUGAAAACAAACAAAUUCGGAAUUUUGCAAUGACUUUAACAAAAUUUUAUCGAAAUUAAAUAUGUUCAGUCAAUAUAAUAUUUAGCCAGUAUAAUAUAUACACAACUAAGAGCUAAACAUUGAGUAAAUAAUUUUCACGGCUAGGUAGGGAAGAAAAAAAUGAGGUAAUUGAAGAUCUAAACAAAAAGUAUCCUUUCGCUUAAUGUCCUCUGUGCGUACAUAAGUUUUAAAAAAUUCCCUUGGUAACAUUUAAACUCUUCAAUAAUAAAUGUAGAUAAUCAAAAAGAGUUAUAUUUCUUACACUUCCAUUCAAUGUUCGGUGUUAUUUUGUGAAUUAAGAUGAGAAAGCUGAACACAAUCCCUUUCAUGAUUUUGGAGCUAUUAUUCUCUGGACAAAAGUGUUGUGCAUAAAAUUAUUAAUAAGAAAAUGAUUUGAAAAUAAGCAAGAAGGUAAAGUAAUGAUCCUUGCGGAUUGCAUUUUCCCUUUAUGUCAUCUUUCAUUUAUUCUUUAGUUUGAAUUAAUUCCCUUCUGUACUUGCCCUAAACAAAUGAAUUUUUAAAAAAGGAAGAUAGCUGAAGGAGUAAGCCACGUAGCGCUAUGGCUUUUGCCUACUACGUUUCCUCUUAAUGUCAUCAUUGUGCGAAUAUUUAAAGCCCUUGAAUAGUUUUAAAGUUAUGUUCAGGAUAAGACGGUAGUGGGACAAAGUCUUCAUUACACGGCUUAUGCCAGAAGGCGAGGACCUUAUAAGAUAUUAUCUAUGGUGGUAUACUUCUGCGACGAUACAGCUAGGUAGCUGUUGAGAUACCUUAAAUAAAUAUCUUGAUAAAGCGAAGUUUUCUGAAAUAUUUCUCUCAAUAGUCGAAGUUUUCUGGACAUAUCAUUGCAAAAAUUUACAUUAGUAUCUGAUACGUUUCUGUAGGUGUCCAUAGCUAGAUAGUUGUCUCAAUACUUUCAGAAAUCAUCUUCAUAUUUCCAAUUUUUCUGUAAAGUUUAUCUCCAUAACCUAAAGUUUCCUUAAAAUAAAAACCAUCUAGAAAAAAUACUUUAUUGCGAUAAUAUUUUCAAAAUAAUGCAAAACUUUGCUGGAAAGUUAAAAACACUAAUAAGUACUAGCAUCGCAGUAACGCGAAAUUUUGCGCUUAAAUAUUUUCUAUAAAUAAAUAAAAUUAUCAUGAUAGUUACCUAACUAAAUUGUGGCAGAAAUUAUCUGUAAUUACAUGCACUUAAUACAAAACCAGAUUAACAUUACUAUGCAUAUACUUUUUCCUUGAAAUUUUUAUACCUGUAAGUAAUAUGAACUUUAAUAACUGAAUUUGAAUUUUAUACAACAAAAUUGACUCGUUAGUACUUCGCAUCAUAAUUAACAAGAACUGCAUGUUAAUUAUGAUGCUAUUGCAAACUUAUAUUUUAUAGUACGAAAAUAAAAUCGCUUCACCUCUUUCUAUGGUUUCUAUGGCUAUACAGAUUAUUCAAGUGUUGUUGAUGUUUUUUGUUUUUCGCUUAAUUGUUUUCGCAAAAAUAGUAUAACUUUGUAUUCAGCAACUUCUGUUUGAAAACAAAACAAAAACAAUUGCCGUCUUAAAUAUGAGAUAACUGUUCUGUUGCUCGUUGUGUUCGUGUCCACCACUUUUGCUUCCCCGCACUAUUUUAGACGCCAGCCUCCACAUCUGUUCGACGACUCUUCAUCAGGUGACGUCUCAAAAAGCAAGGAAAGAUUGGCGUGUGACAAGAUCAUUAGGUUUUGUAAAAAACAAGGGGUUCCUGACGGUAAAAGAACUGCAGGGAACGAUGUACCCACAGAAACAGACGAAUCUGAUUGCAAAAAGUAUUUUGCUGAAAAAGACGAAGUAUUUGGUACUUCCGAAGAAAGAAAACGUUCAGGAUUUGAUUUCGACGUAAGAUUCAGAAAUGUCACUUAUACUAUAUAUUCUUGAAGUCUAAAUGUAUUCCUCCUUC